AAUGAACGCUGGCGGCGUGCCUAACACAUGCAAGUCGAACGAGAAAGCACUUCGGUGCGAGUACAGUGGCGAACGGGUGAGUAACACGUGAGUAUCUACCUAUUAGUGAAGGAUACCCUCGAGAAAUCGAGGUUAAUACUGCAUACGUCCUUACGGAGAAAGGAGGCCUCUUGCUUCCGCUGAUAGAUGAGCUUGCGGACUAUUAGCUAGUUGGUAGGGUAAAGGCCUACCAAGGCGAUGAUGGAUAGCCGACCUGAGAGGGUGAUCGGCCACAUUGGGACUGAGAUACGGCCCAGACACCUACGGGAGGCUG
rnacentral:rRNA from 1 species